CACGGAGGGUGCAAACGUUGUUCGGAAUCACUGGGCGUAAAGCGCGUGUAGGCGGCGCAGUAAGUCAGAUGUGAAAGCCCUCGGCUCAACCGAGGAAGUGCAUUUGAAACUGCUGUGCUAGAGUACGGGAGAGGGCUGUAGAAUUCCCGGUGUAGAGGUGAAAUUCGUAGAUAUCGGGAGGAAUACCGGUGGCGAAGGCGGCAGCCUGGACCGAUACUGACGCUGAGACGCGAAAGCGUGGGGAGCAAACAGG
rnacentral:rRNA from 1 species